GAGGUCUUAGUUUAAUUAAAUCGAUUGAUUUGCAUUCAGUAGAUGUAAGAUAUAAUCUUACAGUCCUUG
rnacentral:tRNA from 1 species